UUAAAAAUAAGCCUCAAUGUUUAUAUCAACUUUAUAUUUCUUUUAGUAUCUAAAAUCAUUCUUUCAAUUGUGCUAAGUGCAAGUUUUUUUGAUACCGUAUAUGCAAAGUGAAGUAUAUUAUGUAUGUUAACAAUUGUGCAAUGAUAAUAAUUAUUACACAAGUGUAUUAAUAAUUAAAAUUCGAUUAAUUUUUAAUAAAAAUAUAUAUAUUUUUAUAUAGUUUUAAUAUGGUAUAAUUUUGUUUUAAUCGCAUAAUGAAUAAGGUUAUGUUUACUACAAAUAUUAUAGUUUCUAAAUUGCUAAAAAUAAAUGAAACUGUAAAAUUUUCAAAUAAAUUUUUACAUAUACGAUUUCAAAUUCUUUUUUCAAAAAAAAAUGAAACGAUUGAAAGUCCGAGAAUGCGUGAAUUUAGAAAAAAAUUAAGAGAACGUACACCUAUAGAAAAAUUAGAAGAACUCGAAGAAGGCAAGCAUCCUUAUCAAGAAAAAGAACCAUUAAAACCAUUUCCAAAUAAUACGAAUCCAAAAACAGGUGAAAUAGGAGGACCACGUGGACCAGAACCAACACGAUAUGGUGAUUGGGAAAGAAAAGGUCGAGUGACAGAUUUCUAGUGAUAUUUUAAUGCAAUAUUAUAUGAAUAUAAUAGUAUAUCUUAUAUAGUAUGUUCAAUUAAAAUAUAUGUAUUUUAGCAAUAAAAAAUUCAUUAUAUAUGAAAAAUAUAAUUAAAUAAUAAACAUUUUAUUAUUUAUAUAUUAAUAAAAUAUUUUUAUAUGUAAAAAUAUUUUUUAUUAUUAAGGAAUUAUUUUCUAUAUUUGAUUUUUUAUAUUAAAAUAGCAAAUUAUAAAAAAAAUAAAUAUAAAACAUUUGACAAUUUACAAAAAAUAUAUAUAUAGAUCAUAUAUAUAAAAAAUAUUUUUUCAAAAGCAUAACAAAAGAAUACUAAAAUUAAUAAAUUAAUCAUUUCAACAAAAUAUACAAAUAUGGAUAUUUUGAAACUAAAAGUCUCUUUGAGAGGUUUUUACGUUAAUAUCAGAAUGCUUGAUUUUAUAAAUAAAAUUUCUAUAAAAUCAUUAAUGUAUAAAUCUAAAGCAUUUUCAACAGGUUUUUUAUUACGAGUUAAAGAACCAGAUGCAAAAUUAGA